rnacentral:rRNA from 1 species
CCUACGGGGGGCAGCAGUGGGGAAUAUUGCGCAAUGCUCGUAAGAGUGACGCAGCGACGCCGCGUGAAGGACGAAGGCCUUCGGGUCGUAAAGUUCUUUCGACAGGGAAGAAAAUGCCUAUAAGUAACUGUGUAUGUAUUGACGGUCCCUGUAUAAGCAGCACCGGCUAACUCCGUGCCAGCAGCCUCGGUAAUACGGAGGGGGCGAGCGUUGUUCGGAGUGACUGGGCGUAAAGAGCACGUAGGCGGUGUUGUAAGUCAUUAGUCAAAGACUAGAGCUCAACUUUGGUAAGGCUAGUGAUACUAUAAUACUGGAGUAUCAGAGAGGAUUGUAGAAGUCCAGGUGUAGGAGUGAAAUGCGUAGAUAUCAGGAGGAAUACCGUUAGCGAAGGCGGCAAUCUGGCUGGAAACUGACGCUGAGGUGCGAAAGCGUGGGUAGCAAACAGGAUUAGAUACCCUGGUAGUC